rnacentral:rRNA from 1 species
ACUCCUACGGGAGGCAGCAGUGGGGAAUAUUGCACAAUGGGCGCAAGCCUGAUGCAGCCAUGCCGCGGUGUUGAAGAAGGCCUUCGGGUUGUAAAGCACUUUCAGUCGUGAGGAAGGUAGUGUAGUUAAUAGCUGCAUUAUUUGACGUUAGCGACAGAAGAAGCACCGGCUAACUCCGUGCCCAGNACCGCGGUAAUACGGAGGGUGCGAGCGUUAAUCGGAAUUACUGGGCGUAAAGCGCAUGCAGGUGGUUUGUUAAGUCAGAUGUGAAAGCCCGGGGCUCAACCUCGGAAUUGCAUUUGAAACUGGCAGACUAGAGUACAUGUA